rnacentral:rRNA from 1 species
AUGGAGGCGAGCAAGGGAGGCGACGGGAGCUCGGGCGCCUCGGCGAGCAACGAUGACAGCACGGUGGAGGAGGAGGGAGCGGGCCGUGAAGAGCAGGAGGACGCCUGCAGGGGGAACUCUUUGUCGUCGUCGUCGGUGCGCCCCUACGUCCGCUCCAAGAACCCGCGCCUCCGCUGGACGCCGGAGCUCCACCACUGCUUCGUCCGCGCCAUUCACAGGCUCGGCGGCCAAGACCGUGCAACUCCGAAGCUCGUUCUUCAGUUGAUGAACGUCAGAGGGCUUAGCAUAGGCCAUGUCAAGAGCCACCUCCAGAUGUAUAGGAGCAAGAAGAUCGAUGACUCAGGCCAGGUCAUAGGUCAUCUCCCCUUGCCCCAUGCCUUCCAUCAUCGCCAGAGUGGUGCGGGCACCAUGUUGUCAAGGUUUGGUGCUGCUGCAUGGCCUCCAUGGAGAAGCUUCCAUGAACCAUAUUGGGCCCAUGGUCGCCCCUUUCUUGCAACUGGAUCGAGGACCUACAACUCUUUAGAAGCUGAAGCCGAGGCGGCUUUCCUUCGGUCCCGAGCUCAACAUGUAGCUCGAGCUGCAUCUAGCAAUCCGGGACUGAUGAUGCAGUCAGGCUGUCCAUCUUGGAACGAUCAUCAUACCAUGAACCACCAGCAUAAACGAUUGCUGCAACCGACAGUGUGCAACGCUGAUGAUAUCCAUAUUUCUCUUGAUCUUGAUCUCGAUCUCUCGCUCGGUCUCCCCGUGCCGAGGAGGGAGGCGAAGCGGAAGAGAUCGGGCUGCGGCUGGGUGAAAGAAGGCCCUGAUGAGAAUGGAGCCGAUGAAGAACAAGUGGAUGAGACCAGCAGUGCCACUAUGCUAUCUCUGUCCUUGUUCUCUUCUGGGGAUGCUCCUCGGAAGAUGAGUAGCACUAGUGCUAGUGAUCGUGCAGUAGAUGAGCAUGCUACAAGGAGGGCAAGUACUCUUGAUCUCACCAUAUGA